UAACAAUUUAUUAUAAAAGGAGAUAGAAAAAUUUCAUGGUAAAAUUAUCUGGAAUUCAUAAAGAUUCCAAACAUUAUAUUUAUGGCGAAAAUGUCAAGCUUUAGGUAUUCAGAGACUAUCUAAACGAUUUCUAUAUCAAUUUAGUUGUUAGGGCGGAUGACAACUUUACCAUUUUGCAAGAAGGAGCAUAUGGCUGAUAUAUUGCUACUCAAUGGCAACUAACAAUUUAUCCUUACUUCUUUAUAUGGAGUAUAUGGACCAUACGCGGCUUGGUGAAACUGCCUUAUUCCCUCAUACUUUAUGGACAAACAUUUAUUUUAGGUAUCAUUUAGAUGGGCCCUGCACAAACAACCAUCUCGAGGGGUUCCAUCAUGCGCUAAAAAGAAAACAAGCAGUACACAUCCUAAUGUGUACAUCCUAAUCAAUAUUGAUCAAAAAUCAAAAUUCGAAUGAUAUUAAGCUGAUGCAAAUUCAUAAUGGAUGCGGCGAGCAAAUCGGACUUAUGAAAAUUAAAUCAUAAAAUAGACAAUUUAACGUCUAUGUAUGAUAGAGCAACCUUAAAUUUGUUUCCUUUUUUAGA